rnacentral:rRNA from 1 species
AACGAACGCUGGCGGCAUGCCUAACACAUGCAAGUCGAACGGGAUCCUAGCUUGCUAGGUGAGAGUGGCGGACGGGUGAGUAACACGUGGGAAUCUGCCUUUUGGUUCGGGAUAACCGCGGGAAACUGCGGCUAAUACCGAAUGCCCUCGUGAGAGGAAAGAUUUAUCGCCAGAAGAGGAGCCCGCGUCCGAUUAGGUAGUUGGUGGGGUAAAGGCCUACCAAGCCGACGAUCGGUAGCUGGUCUGAGAGGAUGAUCAGCCACACUGGGACUGAGAUACGGCCCAGACUCCUACGGGAGGCAGCAGUGGGGAAUAUUGGACAAUGGGGGCAACCCUGAUCCAGCAAUGCCGCGUGAGUGAUGAAGGCCUUAGGGUUGUAAAGCUCUUUUGCCAGGGAAGAUGAUGACUGUACCUGGAGAAUAAGCCCCGGCUAACUUCGUGCCAGCAGCCGCGGUAAU